UGUCAGUUUCAGGGAAGGUGCAAUUCCUUACUGGCGGUAACCUGCACCCCGGGUUUCAUAACGGGGAUGGCAGGAAGCCCGCGACCCGCGCAAGCGGCUGAUCCGGUGAGAUUCCGGAGCCAACGGUAUAGUCCGGAUGGAAGAAACGAGGG
rfam:Bifidobacterium longum NCC2705, complete genome.